rnacentral:ncRNA from 1 species
GAGUUUGAUGUUGGCUCCGAAUGAACGCUGUCCAGAAGCUUUAACACAUGCUAAUCGAACGAUCAAACCUAAUUUUUUUUGCUCUUAAAUUUACGUGGAAGGCUUGCUUUUCUAUAAUGAAAUAAGAACAGAAGAUAGUUUGAAAGUGGUGUACAGGUGAGUAUAAAGUAGGAAGACUAGCCCAAAGAAAGGCAUAAAAUACCUUAUAGAAAUGGUGCUGAUAAAACCAUAAAAGAUAUAUAAUUUCGCUUUGGGAUGAGCCUACUCGGGGAGGUAGUAGGAGAGGUAAUUGCUUAACUAGCCUAAGAUCCGUAGUCGUAUCUGAGAGGAUGAUCGACCACAUUGGCUCUGAAACAACAGCCAAGUCUACCCAUAAGGGAAACCAGCAGUGAGGAAUAUUGGUCACUGACCGCAAGGUUGAACCAGCUAUCUGGAAGGGUGUAAACUAAAUAAGGAUAAAGCCCUAAAAAAGAGAGGAUAAUGACGUUAUCUUUUUGACAAGUCUCGACCAAAUCACGUGCCAGCAGUCGCGGUAAAACGUGGGAGGCAAGCGUUAUUGAUCUUAAAUGGGUCUAAAGGGUCCGUAAAACGGUAAAUUAAGCGAAUACCUCUCCUAUUCGGGGGAGGUAGUCUAAUCGAACUGAUUUACUAGAGUCUUAUAGAAGAACAGAGGAAUUGCAAGAGUAAGGAUGAAAUCUAUUGAUACUUGUAGGACCGCCAAAGGCGAAGGCAUCGUUCUAGGUAAAGACUGACGUUGAGGGACGUAGGCGUUGGGAGCGAAAAGGAUUAGAUACCCCUGUAGUCAACGCUGUAAACGAUGAGUGCUUAAGAUUAGUAAUAAUUAUUAAUAAGUAAUUAGGCUUUAAAGCUUUUAACUAUUAUAAAAAAAAAAUUAGUCUCGAAAUGAAGAUGUUAAGCACUUCACC